UUACGGGCAUAUCACGUUGAAACGCUGAUCUCCGUACGAUCAAAAAAGUUAAGCAUCAUAGUGCCUGAUCAGUACCUAGAUGGGUGAGCGCUUGGGAAUACCAGGUGCU